rnacentral:lncRNA from 1 species
GAAACACCUAAAGAGUUCUAGAGCAAGGAAACUGACUCAAGGGAGACACUGUGCAGUAGGAGAGAAAUAUGAGAACCCCAAUCUCAGGAUUCAAGGUCUGGGGAUCACUGAAGGAAAGGCUCUGUAAACUCCUGUUCGUUUCUUCCCUGCACAGCUGCAAGAUCACAAGACAGAGACGCAUAACCUGCAAACCAAGUUUUCCCAGACAUGUAAGACAUGUUGCAAAAGUGUCACAGCAGCCUUUGUUCUCGCUUCUGUAAGCCUGCUUCCUGCUUCACGUAGUGCCCGCCUCAAAGUGCUUAAACUCGUUUUAUUUGUUCUAGGCUCAGACUCUCAGGACACAUGUCCGCUGAGCCGGUGUACACAUUAAAUAAACACUUUCUUGCACUCCGUUCAGUCUCUCCAAUUCCUUAAUUUCCCGCAACAAUUGGGUAGAAAUUACUAGAAAGGAAACAGAUGACAUGGUUCCUGUGUGCCUACAAAAAUUUAAAUUUUAUUAGACCCAUCUCUAAAUCUUUCAGCAAAUCAUCUAAUCUUCUCCCCUUAUUGCUCAGACCUUAUUUAUUCUUGGUUUUUAAUAACAAAAUCACAUAUUUUCAGAUAAAACUUCUCUUUGGAAGACAACAAUAUAACUUGAAAAGCUAUAAGAAGUAAAUGCAAUAAAUAUUUAAAAUUUAACCCCAAAGAUACAUGUGAACCAGCAAAGGAAGAAAAUACAAUGUAGCAAGUGCGAAUGUAAUGUACCUCCCACUGACAACCACGGGCUUCUUUAAUGGCGUGAUGGUUCCUGGUUCACCAACGACCCCAGAUAUUAUACUAGGAAGUCUUCACCAGGACCAAAGGUAGCCCUGAAUCUUUUCACAUUUUUAUUUUCACCAAAAUGAAGACUAUGCAAGGCACAUGCCAAAUAAAGUGUUAAUAUUUCUGUACUCAAAGUUGCAGGAGAGUAGCUAACAUCUUAGAUAAUUAGAUGGGAACUGAGAGUGGCCAUAUAAAAUCAGGAAGUGGACAGAACAAAAACAGGACAAUUUAAUAGGCACAACUCAAGUUUCAACCCAUUGGAACAAGAGAAAACGUCAUGUUUUAGUAUUUACUAACAUUUUAAAAUAUAUUACUACCUCAUGAAAUAAAGUGUUUGGGCUUUUUAUUUGUUUGUGUGUUAUCACAAAAUCAUAGAAUUUGGAAGGGCGCUAGAGCAGAGAUUGCUACUUACUCUCCAAUGACUACUCUUUUUUUUCCUAAAGCAAGAGUUGACAAGUUUUUCUAUUAAGGGCUAGAUAGUAAAUAUUUUCUAAUUUGUGAGCCAGACAGUGUCUAUUACACUAGUCACCUCUGUUGUUGUAGUGUAAUGGACAUGUGUAAACAAAUGGGUGUGAUUGGGUUCCAAUAAAGUUUUAUUUACAAAAACAGGAAGCAGGCUAACUUUGGCCCAAGAUCCCUAUUCUAGAGUAACAGCUUGACUUAUGGCUGCUUGGAAUAGACUACAUUUCCCAGCCUCCCUUGCAACUAGGUGUGGCCAUGUGGCAAGUCCUGGCCAAUGUGAUGUAAGCAAAAGUAGUACAUCCAUGCUCUUCCUCCUUCCUCCUUCCAUUUUGCUACUUGAAAUGCAGACAUAAUAACUGGACUGCCACUUUGGACUAUGAGGACAGGAGUCUGUGAUGGAGAAGAAAUUGGAAGCACUGUGGGUGAUUACAGUCCCUAUACCAGCCCUGAGUUAUGUCCAGAAUUUUAUGUGACAGAGAAAUAAUGAUCUCUUUUGUUCAAGCCUCUGUUCCUUUGAGUCUCUGAUAUUCUCAAAAAGUAUAUAAUCCUAAAUUAACACAAGAGCCCAGAGAUCAUGUAUUUAACUACCUCGUGUUAUAGAUAUAAAAUAAAAGUGAGACUCUGGAAAGAUGAGUGAUUCACCUCGAAUCAUUGGCUAAUUAAUGCCAGAGCAAGGCCUAGACUGUUAUCUGAUUCUAAAUCCAAUGCUUUUUCUAGAUUUAUAUGAGGCUAGUGCUCCCAUAAACAUACACUUAAAUUACAAAUGUUUGUUAUUUUCUUUGUGAGAUCUUUUCAGUCAUUUAAGCCACUUCAUUUUUGAAGGAGCAGGUGCUCAGUUUUAUUCUAAAAAUGAAGAAAAAAAUGUUUUUAUUUAUAGAAACUUACUUCAGGAUCAUUUCUUUCAAAUCCUAUUUAUUUCAGAAAGGAAGAUAUUUUAGACUAAUUUUCCACCUAAAACAGCAGGAAACUCAAAAUUCCUUUCAAAGGGUUUACCCCCUUAUUGUCUUCGAUCCUGAGGUACACACCAAAAAAAUAAGUGCUAUGAUUAAAAGAUGAAAUGUAUUUAUAAGCCAGGCACGAUAGCUUAUGCCUGUAAUCCCAGAACUUUGGGAGGCUGAGGCGGGCAGAUCACCUCAGGUCAGGAGUUGAAGACCAGCCUAGCCAACAUAGCAAAACCUC